rfam:Papio anubis isolate 1X1155 chromosome 20, whole genome shotgun sequence.
AUCACCUGGGAGUCUUGUUAAAAUGCAGAUUCUGGCUCCGCAGGUCAGAGGUAAGGCCUGAGAAUCUGCAUUUUGAACAAGCUCCCUGGUGAAGCUGA